CCAGGAGCAGAGCAGGCACCAGACACAAGAUGGGGCACAGGGUAUGGUGACAGUGUGGGGUAGGACCAUGCUGUGGGACGGGGAGGGGACAAAAGCGACCCUGCAUCCCCUGCAUCCCAUACACCCCCUUUCCUUUUCGGCACUCUGUCAGCAUGGCACUGCCACUCUGCUCCCUGCACUCCAGCCCUGGGGAGCCUCGAUGCCAGGGGCCAGCA